ACUUGCAAGUCGAACGAUACUACCGGGCUUGCUCGGUAGGAAAGUGGCGCACGGGUGCGUAACGCGUAUGCAACCUACCUUAAUCAGGGGGAUAGCCCGAAGAAAUUCGGAUUAACACCGCAUAAAAUCACAGUACAGCAUUGUACAAUGAUCAAAUAUUUAUAGGAUUAAGAUGGGCAUGCGUGUCAUUAGUUAGUUGGCGAGGUAACGGCUCACCAAGACCACGAUGACUAGGGGAUCUGAGAGGAUGACCCCCCACACUGGUACUGAGACACGGACCAGACUCCUACGGGAGGCAGCAGUAAGGAAUAUUGGUCAAUGGAGGCAACUCUGAACCAGCCAUGCCGCGUGCAGGAAGACAGCCCUCUGGGUCGUAAACUGCUUUUAUUCGGGAAUAAACCUACUUACGUGUAAGUAGCUGAAUGUACCGAAGGAAUAAGGAUCGGCUAACUCCGUGCCAGCAGCCGCGGUAAUACGGAGGAUCCAAGCGUUAUCCGGAUUUAUUGGGUUUAAAGGGUGCGUAGGCGGCUUAUUAAGUCAGGGGUGAAAGACGGUGGCUCAACCAUCGCAGUGCCCUUGAUACUGAUGAGCUUGAAUACACUAGAGGUAGGCGGAAUGUGACAAGUAGCGGUGAAAUGCAUAGAUAUGUCACAGAACACCGAUUGCGAAGGCAGCUUACUAUGGUGUUAUUGACGCUGAGGCACGAAAGCGUGGGGAUCAAACAGGAUUAGAUACCCUGGUAGUCCACGCCCUAAACGAUGAAUACUCGCUGUUAGCGAUACACAGUUAGCGGCUAAGCGAAAGCGUUAAGUAUUCCACCUGGGGAGUACGCCCGCAAGGGUGAAACUCAAAGGAAUUGACGGGGGCCCGCACAAGCGGAGGAGCAUGUGGUUUAAUUCGAUGAUACGCGAGGAACCUUACCCGGGCUUGAAAGUUAGUGAAUGAUCUAGAGAUAGAUCAGUGAGCAAUCACACGAAACUA
rnacentral:rRNA from 1 species